rnacentral:tRNA from 1 species
ACCUGGAUGGCUCAGUCAGUUGAGUAUCUGACUUCAGCUCAGGUCAUGAUCUCACAGUUUGUGAGUUCGAGCCCCGCUUUGGGUU